rnacentral:rRNA from 1 species
AGUCGAACGGCAGCACGGGUGCUUGCACCUGGUGGCGAGUGGCGAACGGGUGAGGAAUAUAUCGGAACGUAUCCAAUAAUGGGGGAUAACUAGCCGAAAGGUUAGCUAAUACCGCAUACGCCCUACGGGGGAAAGCAGGGGAUCUUCGGACCUUGCGUUAAUGGAGCGGCCGAUAUCUGAUUAGCUAGUUGGUGAGGUAAAGGCUCACCAAGGCGACGAUCAGUAGCUGGUCUGAGAGGACGACCAGCCACACUGGAACUGAGACACGGUCCAGACUCCUACGGGAGGCAGCAGUGGGGAAUUUUGGACAAUGGGGGCAACCCUGAUCCAGCCAUUCCGCGUGAGUGAAGAAGGCCUUCGGGUUGUAAAGCUCUUUCGCAAGGGAAGAAACGAUACAGUCUAAUAAACUGUGUUAAUGACGGUACCUUGAUAAGAAGCACCGGCUAACUACGUGCCAGCAGCCGCGGUAAUACGUAGGGUGCGAGCGUUAAUCGGAAUUACUGGGCGUAAAGCGUGCGCAGGCGGUUUUGAAAGUCAGAUGUGAAAUCCCCGGGCUCAACCUGGGAACUGCGUUUGAAACUCCAAAGCUAGAGUAUGGGAGAGGGGGGUAGAAUUCCACGUGUAGCAGUGAAAUGCGUAGAGAUGUGGAGGAAUACCAAUGGCGAAGGCAGCCCCCUGGCUUAAUACUGACGCUCAUGCACGAAAGCGUGGGGAGCAAACAGGAUUAGAUACCCUGGUAGUCCACGCCCUAAACGAUGUCUACUAGUUGUUGGGAGAGUAAAAUCUCUUAGUAACGCAGCUAACGCGUGAAGUAGACCGCCUGGGGAGUACGGUCGCAAGAUUA